rnacentral:rRNA from 1 species
CAGUCCCGCGGGAAAACCGAGGGUGCAAGCGUUAAUCGGAAUUACUGGGCGUAAAGCGCACGUAGGCGGCUUGGUAAGUUAGAGGUGAAAGCCCGGAGCUCAACUCCGGAAUUGCCUUUAAGACUGCCGAGCUAGUAGGUGAGAGAGGUAAGUGGAAUUCCGAGUGUAGAGGUGAAAUUCGUAGAUAUUCGGAAGAACACCAGUGGCGAAGGCGGCUCACUGGCUCAUUCUAGACGCUGAGGUGCGAAAGCGUGGGGAGCAAACAGGAUUAGAUACCCCCGUAGUCCCUGUCUCUUAUACA